rnacentral:antisense_RNA from 1 species
CUUGAUCGACCCCAGCCACAGGGGCUCGGUGCGGUUCUGGCCGUAGGUCGCCAGAAGUGCCUGCGCCUC